CAGCCGGUAAAUCGACGAACUGAAGGGACACGUGUAUGUACAACACGUGAGUUCGAAUAAUGUAAUGAUUGGAUGUGGUCAUGAAUCAACGGUUGAGAGAUGUGGGAUGAUGAUCGGAUGGAUAGGAAAAGAUGGAGCCGGCCCAAGCUAGCGAGGGUCCGUAUUAUGUUACACAGGGAGAUAUUCGUCUUCUCAAAUGCAGGGCUAGAAAAUGUUUAAAAGAAGAGGUUAAUUUCUCUUGUAUAUUCUUGGAAGAUAAAGUGUUUACACUGAAGAAACCAAUCAAGCUGAUGAAAGCUUCAAACCCAACAAAUCAAAAACAAGAUCAGAUUGGAGGAAUCCUGUGUUGGAAGGACAAUACCAGAACAAGGAAGUUACCUCUUAUGCUUUCAAGGUGAAAGGAAGGAACUCCCACUGAACCAAGGAGCCAGUUGCACAGCUCAUGUCUCCAAUGUGAAAAAUGGAGUCCCAUUGAACAUAGUAAUGCCUUGGGAUAUGUAGCAUGUACAUGUUCCAUGCAACCAUGAGUCCCUCAAUCAAGAAUGGGUGGACAUGGCACUGCAUAUGACCGCUCCAUCUUUUUUAUCUUUUGUUGCUGAGCAGAAGUCCUGAGAUAGAC